GGCAUCCGGAACUGUCAGGCUAGAGUGCAGGAGAGGAAGGUAGAAUUCCCGGUGUAGCGGUGAAAUGCGUAGAGAUCGGGAGGAAUACCAGUGGCGAAGGCGGCCUUCUGGACUGACACUGACACUGAGGUGCGAAAGCGUGGGUAGCAAACAGGAUUAGAUACCCUGGUAGUCCACGCCGUAAACGAUGUCGACCAGCCGUUGGGUGCCUAGCGCACUUUGUGGCGAAGUUAACGCGAUAAGUCGACCGCCUGGGGAGUACGGCCGCAAGGUUAAAACUCAAAUGAAUUGACGGGGGCCCGCACAAGCGGUGGAGCAUGUGGUUUAAUUCGAUGCAACGCGAAGAACCUUACCUACUCUUGACAUCCUGCGAAUUCGGUAGAGAUACCUUAGUGCCUUCGGGAGCGCAGAGACAGGUGCUGCAUGGCUGUCGUCAGCUCGUGUUGUGAAAUGUUGGGUUAAGUCCCGUAACGAGCGCAACCCUUGUCCUUAUUUGCCAGCACGUAAUGGUGGGAACUCUAAGGAGACUGCCGGUGACAAACCGGAGGAAGGUGGGGACGACGUCAAGUCAUCAUGGCCCUUACGAGUAGGGCUACACACGUGCUACAAUGGCCGGUACAAAGGGCUGCGAGCUCGCGAGAGUCAGCGAAUCCCUUAAAGCCGGUCUCAGUCCGGAUCGGAGUCUGCAACUCGACUCCGUGAAGUCGGAAUCGCUAGUAAUCGUGAAUCAGAAUGUCACGGUGAAUACGUUCCCGGGCCUUGCACACACCGCCCGU
rnacentral:rRNA from 1 species